rnacentral:ncRNA from 20 species
GACAAUUGAAAUCCGUUCAGUGCCGCAGAAUCCUUGUGGUUAAAAGGGAAUCAGGUGAGAUACCUGAGCGACUCGGUCACUGUAAACAGGAAGUACAUCACAAUAAGCCAUUGGAUCCUGAACCGAUGAAAGCGGUGAAAUCCGCAGAACCGUCGGCGGAUCUGAGAAGGCGUGGUGUGCGGUAUUACCUGUGAGCCAGGAAACCUGCUGAAGGGAGUGGAAUUGGG